AUGACCGGCCUCCAUGACGAGCGCGCCACCGGCGAACCCCGGAGAUCCAAGCGGUCCAGGCCGGAGGCGAAGGCGGCGGAGCCUCCGGCACGCCGAGGGCCACGCUCCUCCGCCCAAGCGUCGAGCUGCGAGGGUUGCGCGACCAUCUUCGCCCCCUCACGGCCAUCGGGAUUCGGAGGAUGUGGCCGUGGCUCCUCCGCCCGCACGCCGCGUGGAGGCCCCGGCUCCCCGCCCAAGCCCGAGCACUCCGCCCCCCCUAAUUGGCAUCGCACCGCAUACAGACUCCACAACCGCGUCGUCCGGGAUACCAGCAACCGCAAGCUCGCCCCCAGUCGCUACGACAACGGGAUAGAAAUUAAGCAUGAUCCAACAUGGCAAACUCCGACGUGUGCACGUGUGGCUUUGGAACACUACAACAACAUGAAUCAGGGGGAUGAGCAUGAGAUGGUUAAACCAGUGAGCAGCCAUGUCUUUGUCUUCAAUGGUAUCUGGUUCCAUGCAAAUUUCCUUGCUAAGCGAAAAGGAGCCACCAACUGUGUUGAUCUCGUCCCCAAGUACUUUUGCUGA
rnacentral:rRNA from 1 species